GGGCCCGCACAAGCGGUGGAGCAUGUGGUUUAAUUCGAUGCAACGCGAAGAACCUUACCUACUCUUGACAUCCAGAGAAGCCAGCGGAGACGCAGGUGUGCCUUCGGGAACUCUGAGACAGGUGCUGCAUGGCUGUCGUCAGCUCGUGUUGUGAAAUGUUGGUUAAGUCCCGCAACGAGCGCAACCCUUAUCCUUGUUUGCCAGCACGUAAUGGUGGGAACUCCAGGGAGACUGCCGGUGAUAAACCGGAGGAAGGUGGGGACGACGUCAAAUCAUCACGGCCCUUACGUUCUGGCUACACACGUGCUACAAUGGUCGGUACAGAAAGCAGCCACUAUGCGAAUAGGAG
rnacentral:rRNA from 1 species